GUCCUGGGCACCUGACGCCCAAUUUCUCUGCCAACCAGCCGCAGUGAAGCUACAAAGCCCAGGCUGCCAGACCCAGCAAGAGCAAACCUGGGGACAGCUCCAGUAAGGAGACAAGAUGCUGCUGGCCUGACAGAAGGAAAAACAAUUAACUGGAUCUCAGUACACAGAAAUGGAGAAAGAACGCCCCAGGGCCUGGACAUAGAGAAGGACAGUGACCACCGGCAGGAUGCGCAGACGCCCGGAUCCCGGAGGAUGCGCAGACGCCCGGAUCCCGGAGGAUGCCCUGGCUACCUCCAGCCUCCCCGCAUCUCCCUCCCCCUCAGCAUCCUGCCGGGGCCACGAGAGCUGCUCCACUCCUGCCUCCCAGCCCCCUGACCCCCAACUCCUCCCAAUUCCUACUCUUUCUUCAAAUUUCAGCUUUCCCUUGACCUCCACCCACAGCUUGUGUAGAAUCGGGCCGGCCAGAAAGUUCAUUGGGAUUUUCCGUAGGAUGUUUUUGGCCAACCCAAUAAAAAGCCUGCCCGCCCCAACUGAGCAGGCAGAGGAUGCUGG
ensembl:lncRNA